CUCAAGUUAAACCAGUCCCAGAC
rnacentral:snRNA from 1 species